ACUUCUUUAUGUUAUUAAACUUUUUUUAGUGUGUUGAGCUACUCUGAAGCAAGAACAAACUGCCAAAACCCUUCUAUUGCAGACUCUGUAAUUUCAGAUCACUCCCAUCUCAGACCAAAAUGGAAGCAGAAGCUGGCUCUGGGGCAAGGCGCAGAGCUCUGUUGCAUCAGCUGCUAUGUGCUCAUGUGAGCCUGCAUGCCACAGCAGCAUCCAUGCUGAUGCACAGCUCCUAAUUCCCAGAGUGGAUUUUUUCCCACUUUUUUCUCCUGAGUCAACAAUGGAGCUCCUUAUCAGAUGCCAAACAGUGGUUUACAUCAACUUACUGAUGAGUACAGCUUCUUCUAAAAGCAGAAGAGAAAUCCUUCCUAUGAAUACUCCCAUGGACUAGAUCUGAUCUAAUUGAGGAUGUCCCUGCUUACUGCAAGGGGGUUGGACUAGAUGACCUUUAGAGGUCCCUUCCAACCCAGGGGAUUUAUGAUUAUAUGACUCUUAAUGCUGCUGGGAGAGAGCAAUUCAGCAAGUCAGACACAACUGCCAGACACUUG